UUCAUCCUACGGGGGGCAGCAGUGGGGAAUAUUGGGCAAUAGGCGCAAGCCUGACCCAGCAACGCCGCGUGAAGGAAGAAGGCUUUCGGGUUGUAAACUUCCUUUCUCAGGGACGAAGCAAGUGACGGUACCUGAGGAAUAAGCCACGGCUAACUACGUGCCAGCAGCCGCGGUAAUACGUAGGUGGCAAGCGUUAUCCGGAUUUACUGGGUGUAAAGGGCGUGUAGGCGGGACUGCAAGUCAGAUGUGAAAACCACGGGCUCAACCUGUGGCCCGCAUUUGAAACUGUAGUUCUCGAGUACUGG
rnacentral:rRNA from 1 species